rnacentral:rRNA from 1 species
UACGUAGGGCGCAAGCGUUAUCCGGAAUUAUUGGGCGUAAAGAGCUCGUAGGCGGUUUGUCGCGUCUGCCGUGAAAGUCCGGGGCUCAACUCCGGAUCUGCGGUGGGUACGGGCAGACUAGAGUGAUGUAGGGGAGACUGGAAUUCCUGGUGUAGCGGUGAAAUGCGUAGAUAUCGGGAGGAACACCUGUGGCGAAGGCGGCCCCCUGUUGGAUACUGACGCUGAUACGCGAAAGCGUGGGGAGCAAACAGG